UACGGGGGGAGCAAGCGUUGUUCGGAAUUACUGGGCGUAAAGAGCUCGUAGGUGGUUUGUCGCGUUGUUCGUGAAAACUCACAGCUCAACUGUGGGCGUGCGGGCGAUACGGGCAGACUGGAGUACUGUAGGGGAGACUGGAAUUCCUGGUGUAGCGGUGGAAUGCGCAGAUAUCAGGAGGAACACCGGUGGCGAAGGCGGGUCUCUGGGCAGUAACUGACGCUGAGGAGCGAAAGCGUGGGGAGCGAACAGG
rnacentral:rRNA from 1 species